rnacentral:rRNA from 1 species
CCUACGGGAGGCAGCAGUGAGGAAUAUUGGUCAAUGGCCGUAAGGCUGAACCAGCCAAGUCGCGUGAAGGAAGAAGGAUCUAUGGUUUGUAAACUUCUUUUAUAGGGGAAUAAAGGUAUCCACGUGUGGAUUUUUGCAUGUACCCUAUGAAUAAGCAUCGGCUAACUCCGUGCCAGCAGCCGCGGUAAUACGGAGGAUGCGAGCGUUAUCCGGAUUUAUUGGGUUUAACGGGUGCGUAGGUUGUUUUUUAAGUCAGCGGUGAAAGUUUGUGGCUCAACCAUAAAAUUGCCGUUGAAACUGGAAGACUUGAGUGUGUUUGAGGUAGGCGGAAUGCGUGGUGUAGCGGUGAAAUGCAUAGAUAUCAAGAAGAACUCUGAUUGCGAAGGCAGCUUACUAAGCCAUAACUGACACUGAAGCACGAAAGCGUGGGGAUCAAACAGGAUUAGAUACCCGGGUAGUC